rnacentral:rRNA from 1 species
UGGGGAAUAUUGGGCAAUGGGCGAAAGCCUGACCCAGCAACGCCGCGUGAGGGAAGAAGGUUUUCGGAUCGUAAACCUCUGUCCUUGGUGAAGAGUAAGAGACGGUAGCCAAGGAGGAAGCCCCGGCUAACUACGUGCCAGCAGCCGCGGUAAUACGUAGGGGGCGAGCGUUGUCCGGAAUUACUGGGCGUAAAGGGUGCGUAGGUGGCCUUUUAAGUUGGAUGUGAAAUACCCGGGCUUAACUUGGGGGGUGCAUCUAAUACUGGAGGGCUAGAGUGCAGGAGAGGAAAGCGGAAUUCCUAGUGUAGCGGUGAAAUGCGUAGAUAUUAGGAGGAACACCAGUGGCGAAGGCGGCUUUCUGGACUGUAACUGACACUGAGGCACGAAAGCGUGGGGAGCAAACA